rnacentral:rRNA from 1 species
GGGUAGCCGGCCUGAGAGGGCGACCGGCCACACUGGGACCGAGACACGGCCCAGACUCCUACGGGAGGCAGCAGUGGGGAAUAUUGCACAAUGGGGGAAACCCUGAUGCAGCGACGCAGCGUGCGGGAUGACGGCCUUCGGGUUGUAAACCGCUUUCAGCAGGGAAGAAGCGCAAGUGACGGUACCUGCAGAAGAAGUACCGGCUAACUACGUGCCAGCAGCCGCGGUAAUACGUAGGGUACGAGCGUUGUCCGGAAUUAUUGGGCAUAAAGAGCUCGUAGGUGGUUGGUCACGUCUGCUGUGGAAACGCAACGCUUAACGUUGCGCGGGCAGUGGGUACGGGCUGACUAGAGUGCAGUAGGGGAGUCUGGAAUUCCUGGUGUAGCGGUGAAAUGCGCAGAUAUCAGGAGGAACACCGGUGGCGAAGGCGGGACUCUGGGCUGUAACUGACACUGAGGAGCGAAAGCAUGGGGAGCGAACAGGAUUAGAUACCCUGGUAGUCCAUGCCGUAAACGUUGGGCACUAGGUGUGGGGGGCAUUCCACGUUCUCCGCGUCGUAGCUAACGCAUUAAGUGCCCCGCCUGGGGAGUACGGCCGCAAGGCUAAAACUCAAAGGAAUUGACGGGGGCCCGCACAAGCGGCGGAGCAUGCGGAUCAAUUCGAUGCAACGCGAAGAACCUUACCAAGGCUUGACAUACACCAGACCGUUCUGGAAACAGUUCCUCCCCUUUGGGGUUGGUGUACAGGUGGUGCAUGGUUGU